rnacentral:rRNA from 1 species
AACGAACGCUGGCGGCAGGCUUAACACAUGCAAGUCGAACGGGUGUAGCAAUACAUCAGUGGCAGACGGGUGAGUAACACGUGGGAACCUUCCUAGGGGUACGGAACAACUCAGGGAAACUUGAGCUAAUACCGUAUACGUCCGUGAGGAGAAAGAUUUAUCGCCCUUAGACGGGCCCGCGUCGGAUUAGCUAGUCGGGGGGGUAACGGCCUACCAAGGCGACGAUCCGUAGCUGAUCUUAGAGGAUGAUCAGCCACACUGGGACUGAGACACGGCCCAGACUCCUACGGGAGGCAGCAGUGGGGAAUCUUGGACAAUGGGCGCAAGCCUGAUCCAGCCAUGCCGCGUGAGUUAAGAAGGUCUUCGGAUUGUAAAGCUCUUUUGCCAGGGACGAUAAUGACGGUACCUGGAGAAUAAGCCCCGGCAAACUUCGUGCCAGCAGCCGCGGUAA